UGUAACUCAGUCUUGUAGAGCAAUGCAUUCCAAAUGCACAGGCCGUGCGUUCAAAUCGCGCC
rnacentral:tRNA from 1 species